rnacentral:tRNA from 3 species
GCCGGGGUGGUGAAAUGGUAUACACGCUACCUUGAGGUGGUAGUGCCCGUAAGGGUGUGCAGGUUCAACUCCUGUUCCCGGCACCA